GCAAAAUUAACUCAUAGCUUAGUGCGCUAAGGAAACACUUCAUAAUAUAUGGUGACUCUCUGCACUGGGAAAUAUGCAGGAUCCUGAAGUAGACGAAAAUACAACCUUGCAGUUCCAGCCACCUCUGGACGAGCAGAAUUACGGCGCUACUGUCGCACAUGCAAGACACUUUCCACGCGAGUCGGUGUCAAGGAACAGUCCAGCGAAGAGAGAUUACAUGAUAACUGGUGUGCUGUGCUAUGCAAAUUUAAUAAAUUUCAUGGAUUGGUUCAUUGUACCAGGCAUCCUGUUAGAUAUACAGAAAUACUUCAAGCUUAGUGAUGGAGAUGCAGGUCUACUGCAAACAGUCUUCAUCUUGUGUUACAUGCUGGCUGCCCCCUUCUUUGGAUACCUUGGUGACCGGCACAAUAGGAAAAUCAUCCUUGGGGCUGGUAUUUUCUUCUGGUCUGGUGUAACGUUAGGCAGUUCAUUCAUCAAGGAAUCGUAUUCCUGGAUAUUCUUUCUUUCACGAGGACUGGUUGGCAUUGGCACGGCUAGUUAUUCCACGAUAGCACCUACCAUCAUCGCAGACCUGUUUGAGGAAGGAAAAAGGACCACAAUGUUAUCUGUCUUCUAUAUCUUCAUUCCAGUUGGAAGUGGUCUGGGUUAUGUCCUAGCAUCCAGCAUGGCAGAUGCCACAGGUGACUGGCACUGGGCUUUCAGGAUAACGCCUUGCAUGGGAGCUCUAGCACUUGUUCUUCUGAUUCUGGUCGUCCCUCGCAGGACCCAGAGAAGGACAGAAGCGCACAGAGCACUGAGCAUCUCCGGCACAAUACGAGUAGCAGCUGAGAAACCAGGGGUACAAAGAACUGGCAAGACGACUUGGUGUGAAGAUGUCAUAUCACUUGGCAAGAACUGGAGUUUUGUCUGGUCCUCACUGGGUCUGACUGCCAUGGCCUUCGUUACUGGAGCCCUGGGCCUGUGGGUGCCGCUGUUCCUUUACAGGGCUCAGGUUGUCCAGGGCAUUGUAUCACCAUGCCUCGAAGAAUCGUGCAAUUCAUCCGACAGCCUAAUAUUUGGAGGCAUCACCAUUGGGACAGGAAUCUUGGGUGUCGUUGCUGGGGCAGAAGUUGCAAGAAGGUUAAGGAAGAUUAACAAUAAAGCUGAUCCGCUGAUCUGUGCCGUUAGCAUGUUCAUUUCUGCCGUGUGCCUCUACAUAGCUCUGAUCGUGGCCCAGACGAACAUCGUUUUCACUUUUAUUUUUAUUGCAUUUGGAGAACUGUUUUUAUCUGUAAACUGGGCUGUUGUGACAGACAUACUGUUGUAUGUUGUGACACCAAGACGGCAGUCUACAGCUAUAGCCCUGCAGAUUUUGGUGAGCCAUUUGCUGGGAGAUGCAGGCAGCCCAUAUCUCAUUGGGAUUAUCUCUAAUGCUAUUCAGGCCAAGAAUGCUAACUCAUUCCAGUGGAGUUUCUGGAGCCUGCAGUACAGCUUCAUCAUGUGUGCGUUUGUUGGUGUCUUUGGAGGAAGUUUUUUCCUCCUGACGUCUUUCUACAUUGAGGAAGAUCGUAAGGAAGCAACACAGCUUUGAGGUACGAGGAAUGAAGGCUGUCUUUCAAAGGAAGAUGAACUCCAGGGCAAGAUAUGUAAAGAAGAAGAAAAGAACCUCCUCCCCUUUUUCUUUCCUUUUGCUUAAUGAGAUACAGUUAGAGAAAAGGCCAAAUAACAAUUCCUCCAUAUGGCAGAAAAACCUGCACACUGACUUUUUGGAUGCUUUUGAUUAUGAGUCAAAAAUUGCUACUGAGUUGGCAUAUGGCAACGCUCCCCCCAUCUGUGAAACAGGCGUGAAUAUGCUGUGGAGCUGGGGAGCUCCAGAAGGCAGUGUAUAGAGCUGUCACAGGCAUGACUGUUAACCUAAACAAGACAGUAGCAUUUAAGGCAGAAUGUCUAGUGAAGAUUAGGAUGGGAGGCCUAUGAAUUCUCAGCAGGAUAAGAUUGGCCUUUAGAAUUUGGAAAAUAUGGAUAGUGCAAGCAAUAUUUUCAGUCAUCUGAAAUGACCAAGAGAGGCAGAGAUUAGUCAAGGGUCAGUGUCAGAUUUGAGAGUGGAGAGUUGUUGUGACUCUACAUGUAAUAUGUGAAUGGCUUCUUUAUAAAACUUUGAGGCUCUUCAGUGCAUUGCCAGGCCUUGGGUAAGUAUCUCUGUACAUGAGUGAACAGCGGUAGCUAUAAAACCACUUGAAUAUAACUAUCCAGUCGAGCUCUUAUCUCUAAAGAGCCUAAGACUUUGGAUAUGGUAUCUAUUGUCAUAAUAUCAUGCCAGGUGCCAAGCAUGACAUGAUUAUUUUGGCCCAUUUUCAUUGUUUGCGGUGCUGUGGUUCCCAGCAGCGCCUUAAAGCCAAAGCCUGGGGAAGAUAUUAGCAAGUGUGAACAUUGUGAAUCUUACCUGAUUCUCCCAGUAAGCCAUAAGGACCAUAAAGCACAAUAUUCUUCUGAGUGUGACUAAUGUCAUUAUAAAUAGCAUAAUAGAGCAACUGCAGGUUUUUUUGUUCUCUCUCAUUUUUCUGAAAUCUGUUCUGAAAUUUGACUUAAACCCUGAUAGUCAAAUUUGGCCAGAGCUUAGGCCAUUAUGGAAAAUAAUGGAGAAGCUUUUUUGUGAUACUCAAUGAGAGUUUAAGAAUUGCCUUAAAAAUGAAAUCUGGUAUUCUGAAAGAUUGAGCAACUCUUUCUGGUUGUACAAGGUAGCCAAAGCCAUUAUACUACUGUCUUUUCGGAAGUUCAUGUGUUGCCCGAGGGCCCACAUCCAGUAAGGGAUUCCCAAUACUGGAUGUGGACACAUCAGCUUGUAUAGGUCCUAAGUGCUUUUCUUAACAUUUUUUUCAGACUAUUUUUAAGCUACUUGGUAGCAAUGUUUGGAUUGAAACCUCCUGCAUAUAUUCGGCAGACCUGAUGAAAUGUGUAACAUUUGUCUUCCAGAUAAAGCAAGAACAAGUCACUUGGCACCAGUUCCAUUGUUCUUCUUAACACAAUGCCCCAUUGUGCAAUGAAUCUGGGAGGCCUCAUGGCAGUCUUUAAGGCCUUCUAAAUUCUCUAUACACUCCAGACUGGACCUUUAAGAGCCUGAAAUUCAUCUGGUACACUGUUACUGUACCAUUUGUGCUGUUUGAAGCAAGACUAACCAGCCAAGAGGCUGGAUGCUCUGAGCUAUGCCUGGGCGUCCCUGGAAUUGCACAAUCCUCUGGCUUGAUGAGAACUGUCGACUCAGAGGUCUUGCAAAGGUGCAGUGAUGGUGUGACGCAGCCCGGGGAGGCUCUGCCUCCAAAGCAGGGAAACUAUUUCCAUCAUCCAGAAUUUUUACGAGGUAUUUAACCUUUCUGAUAUUUUUCUUGCAUACUUGCCUGACCAGAUCCUCACUGUUUUUCUUCUUGGCCAGCAGAUGAAAUAUUAAAUGAGAAUGUAACCUCCUCAGUAGAAUAUAUAAAAGCAGUAGAAUUUCUCAAAACUUUCUGCAGAUCUUGAAUUUGCUUCUCAGCUGGCAGCGCCAGAUUCUGCACGAAGCAGUCAGUGCGACAGUCUCUCAGUCCUGGAGGGGACUGCGGUGCAUUUUAGCUAUUUAAGACAUUAGGCUUUUUGCAUGCCAUCAAAGUCCGGUAUUAGAGAAAGUUACUGAGUCCUGUCACACAGCCAGUGAAUGAAUGAAAGUUCUCUUUAGGAGUUAAUCAAAAUACUAGGUGUUUUCUAUGGUUCAAGCUGGCUAGAACUAAGCAAAAAUGAGUGGCUUAAAAAAGCUUAUUUAAUUUGCAGCUCUGUCUAGAUUGGAAAGAGCUGCUGCUGGAAGGUGACAGUUAUUAAGAUAGUUUGUUCUGCAGUAUUCAAGCUACUUGGAACCUGCGUGACUUGCAGCACACAGGCUGUGGGAAGACCCACUUUGUCUCCUACGUCAAACGAAUGACAGCUGAACAAGUUGACAAAGCUGUUGCAUGUUCUGUAACUGUUUGUAUGUUUGCCUCUUACCUUUACCAUUUUUUCCUUGUUCUUUCCAACUAAAAUAGUGGGUAAAAGGCACUUUGGAACUGCUCAAAAAGAUGUGGUUUUAUAAGUCCACUCAGGUAAUGAUUUUGAUCUUUUCCUCUUCCUCCCCUUUCAUCAUUCCCCAAAGCAGGGACAUGGGAUUGGUACUGACCUUUUGUGCUGUUUAUGUGGAUUAUUUUUUAAGGAAGCAUUAGAACUCUGCAUAAAAAUUGCCUUCAAAAUCGUGAUUACUUUGGCUUCUGCUAAAUGCCUGAAAAGGCAUCAAGUGGGCAGGACAUAUCUAAGAUACACAGUACUGUUAUGUGUAAGUACUUCUCCAGAGUGAUUCAUUCCACCAGACAGGAUGCUGAUGUGUGAGUGCUAUCAGCAGAAUAUUAAUUUUCAAAAAUCUCUUGUGUAACUUUUUCUUUCCCUCCCUAGCCCCUCCCCAAAUAAAUAGCCCUGUACACUGCUCCUGAAAAGGGUUUCACAGCACCUAAAACAUCUUUCUGCACUGUGGCUGAAGGUGUGCAGAUGGCACACUGUGGCUUUCCAGGCUAUGGAUUUAUACAUUCUGUCUAGGCUGCUCACUUCUAAGAAGAUCUUGGGUUUAAUUCCUCUUUGCCCUAAUCGCUCAUGCAGCUGAAUUGUCUUUUGCAAUAUAUUUUUGCAGACCAGUUGUGAUCCUUUAUAAAGCUACUGAUGUAGCCAUAUGUGUCAAAAGCAUCCUUUAGCUUAGAAGACAGAGCUCAGGGUUGCUGCUGUCAUUGUGAAGGACCUGUGCUGAGGCAGGAUCACUUAUGAGUGUACCAUCCCUGAUGGCUGUUUUACUAAAUCCCUCUUAACCUCCACUGAUGAAGACUUCGUCACCUUCAUAGGUGGCCUGUUUCAGUACUCCAUUACUGAAGAAUUGGCAGUUUUCCCCACACUAUCUUAAGUAAAAUGUUGUGUUGCAGAAUAACUGGCUGAAUUCUGUCUUGCUGUCCUCCCUAGCAUUUGUCUUCCCUUCUACGUCCUGCAUUGUCCAGAUUCACCUAGUGACUUUAUUGUUCGGUAUAUAUGUCCUUUUAGUUCAGAAUGUGCAGAUGAAUUAACUGAUUCCUGUUUGGAAAGAAAACUAAAGGAAAACAGACACUGUCCACCUGAGAAUAGCAUAAAAUGGGUACAGAAAGGCUAAAUCAGCCCAUUUAUGCUGUAGCUGAUUUAAGCUCUUCCAUAGUAGCAGAUAUAUCAUCUCUGCUUCUGCACUUUGCCCUCCUCACAUUAAAAUGUGGAUGGAGUGUCUGUUGAAAUAGAUUUUGAAAUAACUAAGAAUCCUAGAAGUCCUCCAUAAACCCAAAGCUUCUAUGGCAAAAGUUUUCUUCAGAGAUCUUUCAAAUGUGUUGCUUUCCAAGAAUCAUUCACUUUUCAGGCCUCCUUCUUUCUAGUACUGAGUUCUCCUACCCUGCCUGCAAUAACGCUAGUUAGUGCUGACUGUGAGGGUGGCUAACUUGGACGCUCCUUCCCCUAGGACCCAGAGAGAAUUCACCUCCUCCCUUGAUGUAGGCAAAAAAGCGACGAAACAAAAAUGCAUUUGGGCCCCUGCCAAGUCAUAUUGGCAUUCAAGUAGAUGGUACUGGCUGCAUUUCAAUACAAGACAGCCAGUGGGUUCAUCUGAGUUCUCCUAUAAUUAUCUUCAUUGUAAUCCAAUAAAGUCUUGGAGAAGUUCUUAGCAAGCUUUUGUUUGUAAGGGAGACAAAGGUGGAUAUGAAAAGAUUCUUGUUUCUAAUGUUGUAUAGCUGAUCAAAAUUGCAUUGAUCUCACUUUGUGUAAUUCAAUGUUUACAUUAAAGUUUUGUUUUUAAUAUGUAAAUUGAUUAUGUAUUCUGCAGUAAUAAAAUGGCUGUAAUUCUGAGAGAUUAAUGAAAGUGUUGUUGAAUCCCACUGUAGAAAUAAUCCUUCAUAAAUGCACUGUCAAAUGUAUAUGGAAUUAGGAAUGCAACUGAAUCCCAGUAGGCCUAACCCUGCCAGUGCAGUUAGAAUAGGACUCAAGUGUACAUUGUCUCCAUCAGGAUCCUGUACGAUGCACAAGUCUGACCUGUAUAGGACUUGGCUUAUAUUGUGGUACUAAGAUAUGACUUUGUCUGCUCAUAUAGUGUGGUGCUUUUGUUCCUACAUCUAAUAUUUUUCUAUAGUGUUAUGAAAAAUGCCUUUAAAUGGAGUUAAAGGUAAAUUCAUGCAUUCAUGUAUGCAGGUAUAAUUUUCUUUUCAAUGUUUAAUGUGUUGGGCAGUAGGCUUGAAACUGAUGUAAAAAGGAUGAAGGUAACCAUUUUUGAAAGAAUUGACUUCAAGCUAGCUAUUUAAUUCCACCAUAACAUGUCCUGCUAAGUGGUCUGAUUCUUUUCUUUCUUCUUUCCUUUCUUUUUCAAAGAGCCUCGCAUCCCUCUGUUCCUAAUGAAGGCAAUCUGAGCAGCUGUGCGUUCAACACUCAAGAAAAUCAGGCCAUUUACUUAAAGACUUAAUUAUGGGUUUAGAAGCCUAAUCUUAGGCACCUAAUUUUGAAAUCUUUGUUGCAGGCAUGUUUUUUUCAGGGAUAUCUGUGUCCUGCUGAAUGAAAACAUCACUUAGGGAAAUGCAGGUCUGUGAGUACUUAAUAUUCCAUCUGUAAGUGUUGCAACUAAUAACUACUUUAUGGUUUUUGCCGUGAUAGUUUGUUUUCGGUGAAUGACCUUGUUCUUUGUGUGUACUGGUAACCCCCAUCGCUGAGGAGAAGUCACUGGACCUGCAGUACAUCAGAGCCGGGAGCAGAGCUGUAGUAGGAGAGAAUAUGAACUGAAAAAGAACACCUGAGUUCUUCCACAAGGUCUUGCUGAGAAUAUUUCCCCAGCAGAACCAGGUGAAAAGAUGCUUCUUCAACCCAUUUGGAUAAUGCUGUGGAUUCAUUGGUAUAAGAAUAAAAUGUGGAUUAGAUUG